AGGGAAUAGAUACCCUGGUAGUCCUAGCCGUAAACUCUCAGCACUGAAUUGAAGGGACUCCCAUAUCCCUUCAGUUGAAAGCGAAAGUGUUAAGUGCUGCGCCUGGGGAGUAUGGUCGCAAGGCUGAAACUCAAAGAAAUUGACGGGGGCGUCACACAAGCGGUGGAGGAUGUGGCUUAAUUCGAGGCUACGCGAAGAACCUUAUCCUAGCCUUGACAUGCACGGAUUAACUCCUUGAAAGAAGGAGCCAGGCCUUCGGGUUACGAACGUAGCACAAGUGCUGCAUGGCUGUCGUCAGCUCGUGUCGUGAGAUGUC
rnacentral:rRNA from 1 species